UUGUCCGAAUUUGAGAUUUCUUCCGGAAGGUUUACAGCACAUCUCUACGAUUCAAGAGCUUGUUUUAUGGCCUUCGCAUGGGGACCUAGCAAGGAGAUUGAAAGGUGAAGAAAAUUACAAGAUCAAGAAUAUUUCAAAUUUGGAUAUCAGGGAAGAAAGGGAGCUGCUGUUUGAUCCCAAAUGCCCCCUCUGCUCACUACUACAUUCGAGGUAAUUCUUUAGAGAUUCGAGAUGAUAGAAAAUUCCAGCAUUUGAUCCAUGUUUGUAACUUUUGAAACAGGGGUGGCGGCUCUUAAUAAUUUGAUUGUUGCUAGCAUUUAUUCGGUAUUAUUUGGUGAAUUAUAAGGCCAUCCAAGUUUUUGCACGCGAUCAAUAUCUGACAUUUAAUCUGUAUUUUUCUUAAUUUUGUCAUGAGCCCCCGAUAUGAAGUUUGCAAUGAUAAAACAUGGGCUGCGCAAGGGAGUGACUGGUGAGUAUUGUCGCCACAUAAAUUGAGAUUAGCUUGAAAAAAAGGGUUGGGUUAGGGAAAGAAUGAGGAGGUGAAAGAAUGGGUCCUCAUAUUAAAUUUUACAAUUAUUUACUCUCUCCGCUUGGAAUAUGAAUGCAGCUACGGGUUAUGCUCCGCACUCCAAAAGGGGCACAAAGCAAAAAAAAGAAUAACAAAGCUUUCGCAUUAUGCUUAUGUGGGAAUGCAAUACAGGAACCCAAUCCACUCUAUAAUUUUUUUUUCUUUUUCUUUUUUUAAUUUUAAAAUUAUUAUUUAUUUUUUAAUAUUAUAAUAUAUAUAAAUUCACUAUUACAAUCUUAUUUAAUUUUAUAUUAUUUUUAAAAUAAUCUUUAAUUAAUUAUCAUUUUUAUAAUUCAAAUAUUUAAAAAUUAUUUAAUAUUUUUAAAAUAAAUAUAAUUAAAAAUUAAUAAAAAAAAUUUUUAUUAUUAUCUUUUUGGAAAUUUUCUUCUUGUGGGUAAAAAGAGGGUGUCUUCUCUUAUUUAUGGCUACUAUUUGAUUAAUUCAUCGACCACAAUACAUGAUUCUAUAUCAAUUUCACUCCUAUUUUCAUAUUUUAUUCUGUAUUAUUUAAUUAUCAAAUUAGUUUAAGUUAGUUUAAUUUAAGAUUAAAAAGAAAAAUAAAACAUAAAUUAACUAUAUAUAUUAUGGUUACUCACAAAUUCAAAAUUUAUAAGAGAGUAAGUUGUUCAGACUUCAGAGAGAUUAUCCGCCGUACAUCUAAAAUAAUCAAAUCAUUGUGUAAAAUCUGUUUUGGAUAUGAGCCUAUUCUCUCUCCACAAUAUCUUCUCCUGGCUUCUUUUCCUUUUUCUUUCUUUUUUUUUUUUUUUUUUGGCUUUUAAUAUGAAUAUGGACUUCCUUGGGUCAAACUUAAUUGGUUGUUUUAAGUUAAUAUGCAGGCCACUCUCGUCUGGGGUUCGGUAGCAAAAGUCCUGAAAUUGAUAGUGAUGAGUUAAGAGCCAUUUUGUCCCUUACGGCCAUAAAUAUUUCUUUAUUGUUAGAAUAUUUAGAAAAAGUUAUGGCAAAAGAAAAUCAUCUUAAAAAAAAAUUAAAGAAAUUUACUAAUUUACCCAUGAUUUUUAUUAUUAUUUAUAAAUUAAUUUUUAUAUUUUAAAAAAUAUAUUAAAACGUUAUGAUAUAAUUAAAUUAUUAAUAAAUAAAUUUUUUCAUCUUUCACUAAUUUUUUUUUUCACUAAAGAGGAAGAAUCAAAAUAUCCUUAGUGUUAAUUAAAUUUAAUUUUCUCCUAAAUCAACAGAUCUUUCUGCUUUUCUUUUUCAUCACUCAUUUCAUUUGAUUCUUCCUAUUUCAAAAUAGUUUGACAUCAAAAUCAAUAAUACUCGACCUUUCAACACAAUCCGUAAAUUUUCAUUAAAUAAACUAUAAUAUUAUCAUCUCAAGUAUGACUUGAAUAAGUGAGAGAGUCACCAACACGAAGCUCAGCAGUGCUUUCACUGCAUCCCAUAGUCCCGUUGUCAAUGUUGUAAACAAAGAAACGUUGGCAUUGUCAAAUCUAAAAAUCAAUCUCUCUCUGCUUCUAAUCAAUCUCAUUUUGGGUUUAGUUUGGAUGCCUUGAUUGAAGAAAAUUUCAGCAAUUUUCGAGUUUAUAAUUGAUUAUACUUCUUUGAUUCUAUACAUUACUUAGGUUUUUUUUUUUUUUUUACUGAUUUGGAAUUUUAUUGAUACUUUUUAGAUUUAAAAACUGGUUUUGGAUUUAUGAAUUUAAUUAAACUAUUAUUAAAAUUGAAAUUAAGAAAUGGUAUUGGUUUGAGUUGGCAAGUGUGGAUUCUCCAUAUAAAAUAAAGUUUUGAAUAAUUUAGGAUUUUAACAAAUUUCUCUCUCCAUUUAUUAUAGUUUUAAUGAAAAAAAUGUUAAAAUUUAAUGAAAAAAUUAUUUUAUUAAUCGAGAUGAAAAAUACGAAUAUUUUAAAGAGAUUUUAAAAAUAUAAUAACUGACUUAGUAAAUAUUGGUGUUAUUUAAGAAUUAAAUUAUAAAUCUCUAAAAAAUAUUACUCAUUCAAUCUUAUAAUUUUUAUCUACCUAUUUUUUUUUUGUUGUUAUUCUAAAAUUAUUGUUUAAUUUUUUUAUACAUAAUUAAUAUAUACAUGGACUAUCAUAAUUUUAUUUAAUAUUAUCUUAUUUUAAAAAUAAUUUCUUAUUAAUUAUCAAAAUAUAUCUAAAUAUUAAUAAAAUUUAAUAUCUUUUAAAAAAUAUAAUUAAAAAAUUAAUAAAAAAAUUACUUUUUUAAUUUAUAUGUAAAAAUAAAGUAAAUAAAAAUUAUAAAACGGAUGUAAUUUUAAAAUUCAAAAUGCUUAAAAUCAAGCGUGAUGUAUUUGACUUCUAAACAUUGGCCUUACAUGGAUUGUAGAAUUGAGAGCAAAUUUUUUUGAUGUAGCUGAAAUUAAAAUGACGGUGUGAUCAGAAUGAAAUUGUAUUGUGAUUAACUAAUUCUACAAGAUAAAGAAUGUGAGGUGGUUGAUAUCUACGAUAAUCACUCUGACACUCAAGUCAAUAAUUUAGAGAAUAAGGUGAAUAUAGAACUUAAAAGCAUUUGUACGAGAUAAUUGUGUACUUUUGUUUCAAUGAUCCUUUUCUUUUUAUACUAUAAGAAUAUAGAGAUAAAUAUAAUAUUUUCCGAUAAUUCGGCAAUGAUGUGGCCGGCUCGUGGGUAAGGGAUUUUCACCGGUUAAUUAAAUAAGAAUCAUGUGAUCAUAGAUGUAAAUGAGAUCUGCUGGAUUAUAACUGUUAAUAGUAACUUUCUUAUGAAAUUUUAUCAUGAAAUUAAGAUUGUGAGUUUAUCCAAUCUGAAGCUAACCUGUCCUGAAGCACCCGAGACUUUUUUCUCUUGGUUCUAGGUACUAUGGUCUUCCUUUCUAUGGAUAGAAAGGCAUAUUGAUUUAUUAGAUUUUUGUCACGUGACAUUGUCUUAUGGUGACAGCUCACUACCUACUUUAGGCGAUUAUUGUAUAAUAUCAUAGGUCCUAUAGCUGAUUUUCGAUUUUUUAAAUUCGAAGGCGAGAGUCGUUUUCAUGAUCUGAGACAUGUGACUUAUUGUUCCGGGUUGAGCGUACGAUAUCCUUACUUUUUUCCUAUUUGUCCUGCCGACUAGUCAAGUGAGGUCUAAGAUCUUGUCUGGUAAACAUUGAGUGAUAUAAUAAUAUCUUGAUGAAUAUCUAGACUCUCUCUAGCACCAACCAGCCUUGAGGAUCAUCCGGGCAUCUUCUAGUCUUUACGAACUCCUUUGCCUUUUUCAGCCCUAUCGGACUCUCGAGCAUUUUUCAGCCUUAGCAUACUUUUUCUUGCCUUGACCAGCUCUUACUAGCUUUUGGUCAUUUGUCCAACCCUGACGGACUUUCAGACAUUUUCUAGUCUUAACGAUCUCAGGCAUUUCUUAGACCUAACGUGCUUUCGGGCUUUCUUUAAUCUUGAAGAUCUUAUGGACAUUUUCUUAGCCCUGACGAGUUUCUGAGCAUCUUCAGCUCUUGCAAGCUCCUUGACAUUUUCCAAUCUUGAUGGACUUUCAUGCAUUUUUCAGCUUUAAAGAAUUUCUAAGCAUUUUCUCAAUCCUUGUGAGGUCUCUGGCCCUUUACAGUCACGACGAGUUCUUUAACCUAUGCAUUAAAUGUUUUAGAAAUUCUUUGUGAAAUGAGACUGACGUCCGGUUGGUUGGUUUGACUUAUAUCUAUUUUGAGGUCUGUUAUCAAAUAUCUUAAAAAUUUCUUGUGAAACGGAACUAAUAUCCAGUAGAUCGACAUAAUAUAUCUCCACUUUAAAGUAAGGUAUUAGAUGUUUUAAAAAAUUUUUAUAAAAUAGAACUAAUAUACAUAUAUCCGCUUUGAGCUCUGACAUUAUACGGUUGUUCUUCAAUUCGGUAUGGUUGAUAAGAGGUAGAUUCUUUACUCUGUUAGGAUGAGUAGGUUGUAUAAAUUGAUUGGGCUUGUGGAGGUUUUUUUUUUUUUUUACUUAUUAUUUUGUUUCUUCAAUCGAAAAAAAAAAAAUAAUAAGAGUAAGCCAGUAACCCAAAAAGUUAUCCCCUUAUUUUUCUGCUGUGCCUAAAAUUAUCCAAAAAUAAGGGCUGAAACUAUAACAAAAGGAAAUGCAAGCGACCGCUCUAGUGUGGGGUCCAAGUAAUUUUUUGUUAAUAUCUUUUUGGCAAUUUUCUUCUUUGGAUAAAAAUAUGUCGUCUUCUCUUAUUUCUAGCUACUAUUUGGUUAAUUCAUUGACGAAAAAUACAUAAUUCUAUUUCAGUUUCAUCUCUAAUUUCUUAAUUAAUCUUUAUUAUUUAUUCCAACCAAAUUAUUUGAGUUAAUUUAAUUUAAAAAUUUUUUUAAAAGAAAAAUCGAAUGAAUAAUACUGUUCUAUUUUUGGUUGGUGAAAGAGGUAGUCAUAAUUCACUUUGAAAAUAAAACUAAAUUGAUUUAACGAAAUCAAUGCAAUUUUUUUUUUUUAUAUAUUAUCUUAUUCAUUUGGAUUCUUAUGAAUAUAUUUAUUAAAAAAAAUAACAAUGUUUUCGUUAAAUUUUUAUUCAUUUGGAUUCUUAUGAAUAUGUUUAUUAAAAAAAUUAAUAAUGUUUUAGUUAAAUUUUUAUUCAUUUAAAUUCGGUAUAUUUAUUAAAAAAAUAUUUAGUAUAUUUAUUAAAAAAUAAUAAUAUUUUUAUAAAAUUUUUAAAGAUAUUUUUCCUAUCAAUUUUAUUUCUAUUUUAUGGGUGAAAUCAAUUCAAUUUAAAUUAACUAAAAUUAGAAUUCAAUUAAAUGGACCUGAAUGGUAAAAUUUUCAAAUUAAAAUUUUUUAAAAAAAAUUCUUUNNNNNNNNNNNNNNNNNNNNNNNNAAAAAAAAAAAAAAAAAAAAAAAAAAGACACCACUAGUUUGAUUUUGACUCCAUAAUCGGUGCUUAUUUUAUGUUGACUCCUCUCGAAAAUUUUCCAUGUUUAUUUGAUGAUGUUAAUGGAAUUUCUACUUUCAUUUUACGUAGUAUAAUUUCAGUGUAGUUGUUUUGCUCCCAUUUAAUACAAAAAACGAAAUCCUAUUUAGACAAAAAGUAAAAUGUAAACAUCGUUUAUUUCUUUUUAAAUUAAAAAUUGAUAAUUAUGAGAAUAAAAUAUGAGAUAUUUCUAAUUUAAUUAAAUAUAUUUUUCAUCAGAUUAAAUAUAUGAGUGCCAUUAGCUAUGUAUAUUAUCAUUUGAAAUUGAUUUAUCUUGUAAAUGCAUAUAUAAUUGCUCAUUCCUUUUUUUUUUUUGAAAUGGGAUAAUUGCUCAUUCUUAUUUUUACAUUGUUUAUUUUAUAAAAAAAAUUUAAUAAAUUUUUAUUAAAUUAUAUAACAUUUUAAUUUUUAAAAUAAAAUUUUUUUAAAUUAAAAAUGAAUUAAAUUUUUUUAUUCUAAAUAAAAUAAUUAUAAAAAAAUUAAUUCAAUUAAAUUUUUAUAAAAUUUUUUAUUUCAAAUAGAGGAUUAAUGUUUGCUUGAAAGUAACUUGGUAGUUUAAGACCUCAAAUUUGUGGGCAUUAAGUAUAUCAGUUCAGCGCUCUAUUGAUGUCCAUAUCAAAUAAUCAUGUUUUCCCUCUUAUAAAAUAAACUUAUUUUUUUAAAAUUUAUCUUAAAUUAUAAAUUUUUUAGAUAGUAAUUUAUUCAUUGAUUUUUAAUAUACUCAUAUUUAGUAUAUAUAUUUAAAAAAUAAAAUUUAUUAGUUUUAAAAAUAAUUUAAUAAUAGACUAAUAUUACGGCAUCAUGUAUUUUAGAUUAGAGUAUAUUAGAUCAGAGUAUAUGAAUAAGUAGAAUUAAAGGAUUGUUUACAUUCAUUUAACUUAUAUUUAAGAAUUAAUAAAUAAAUAAUAUAUUACAUUAUAUAUAAAUAAAUUUUUGGUUAAAAUUAGUUUACAUUUACAAUAGAUUUAAAUUUAAAUUGAGAUAUAAAAUCGAAAAUUUUAAUUAUAAUCGUAAUUAAAUUUAAAAAAUUUAAGUUUUUUAUUUAAUUAAAUAAAUUAUUUUAGAAUUCCCAACUAUUUGAAUAAAUUUAAAAGAUAGGGCUUGUAGUCCUAUGAAUAUAAUUGUGAUUAAAAAAAAAAGUUGAUGGACAAAAAUGACAUUUACUCUACAGAUAUUUUAUCUUAGGGUAUAUCUUCCACGCUUGAAAACGAGUACGUACACUUGACAGGUCAAGUUGAUAAAUUAUCCCGCGUUGACUCUGAUCUCAAGCUUCCUAAACCUACCCGCUCAGUUUCUCGUCAUUUUGAUCUGAUAAUCAUGCCUCUCUUCUACUCCAUUCGUAAUUCCGAUGGUGGUCUACUUGGUGAGGAGUUUUAUGGGGAGAUGGCCACAGGAGAAGCAUCAUCCGAUGCCCCUAUUGCUGCCAGAAUUCAAAAUGACCAAGGUGAGACUUCUGCUUUCGCUGCUUACAAAACUAAAUAUGAAAACCUGCCUCAUCAUCUCAAAUCCUGCCUUGAUUAUAUCUUCCUUCGUUCUAUGUGUUGGCAUAACGAUAAGGACUACGUAGUUAGGUUGUUGUUAGCUCAAGGUUUAAUACCAGAAAAACCAGGGGAGAUUAUGGAAGAUACAGCAGCAAGUAAUAUUAAGGAAUUAAUUGACCUUGGGAUGCUUCACGAAGUGUAUGGUUAUUAUAAGACAAGAUUAUCAGUCUCUAAAUUCCAUAAAAAAUCAUGCAUUACUGAAGUCGAGGAGCACGAUUUUGUUUUUAAAGCUGCGAAUUUGCCUAUACAUGCAUCCAUUACGAAUGGUGGAGAAGACCUGCCUCCUAACUUCAAAACCUUUCUAAUUCGAUCCUUGUUUGCGGAAGCUUUGGGAUCUAUAUCCUUCCAUGUAUACGAGUAUGUAUACUUCUCUCAGGUGUUUUUGCAAACUGUUUGUGCAUUGCAAUUUAUUUUGGUGUUGGAAUUGGAUGGAAGAAUAGAGUACUUACCUGAUGAAGUGGGAGAAUUGGUUCACCUCAGGUAUUUAGGCUUGAAGGAUACGGGCAUAAAGAAGCUGCCGCAUACAAUUGGUAAUCUUCAGAAACUACAAACUUUGGAGGUAACACAUUCAAAGCUGCAUCAACUACCAAUAGAAAUUCUGAAUAUUAAACAGCUGAGGCACCUUAUAUUCGACAAUCAUGUUCCAAGAGGGAUUGGAACGUUGGUAAAUCUAUAUUCACUUAUUGGUGUUUGUGCUGAUGCUGGCUUUGCCAGUGAAUUGAGUACCUUAACCCAUUUACGAAACCUUAAUAUUCGGAAUGUGGAGGAUCAUGCCAAUGAGCUAUAUGCAGCCAUUUUUAAUCUUGAAAACCUCGUCUCCCUCUCACUAAAUGUAGAAGAUGCGUACCUUGGCACACCAUUGCCUGAUUUGGAGCCAUUUUCUCCUCCACCUCAUAUUCAAGAGCUUAGUUUAUAUGGUGGCUUAAUUGAAAUGCCUAAUUGGCUUGCCUCCAUGGAAAACCUUAUCCGUCUAGAAUUAAAUCGUUCUACUCUCUUGGAGUUCCCGUCUUCUGUUCUUCAGUUUCUUCCUAAAUUAAAACAUCUCAUUUUAGAUGAUGCCUAUAAGACAAAGAUCAUUGGUAAAGAGUUUUGCAACGCAGGUGGAUAUCCGGAGCUGGAAACAUUGUUGAUAUCUUCGAAGGACCUGGUGGAGUGGACUGAGAUUGUAAAUGGGGCUUUUCCAAGUUUGAAGAAGCUUAAAUUUGAAGAUUGUCCGAAUUUGAGAUUUCUUCCGGAAGGUUUACAGCACAUCUCUACGAUUCAAGAGCUUGUUUUACUGCCUUCGCAUGGGGACCUAGCAAGGAGAUUGAGAGGUGAAGAAAAUUACAAGAUCAAGAAUAUUUCAAAUUUGCGAAUCAGGGAAGAAAGGUAGCUGCUGUUUGAUCCCAAAUGCCUCCUCUGCCCACUACAUUGGAGGUAAUUCUUUAGAGAUUCGAGAUGAU
rnacentral:lncRNA from 1 species